rnacentral:rRNA from 1 species
UGAACGCUGGCGGCGUGCUUAACACAUGCAAGUCGCACGAGAACACUUCUGCUUGCAGAAGUUAGUAAAGUGGCGCACGGGUGAGUAACGCGUGGGCAAUCUACCUCCGAAUCGGGGAUAACCCCGCGAAAGCGGAGCUAAUACCGGAUAAUAUCCCUUUUUCUUGUGAAAUUGGGAUCAAGGGUGGCCUCUACAUGUAAGCUACCGUUUGGAGAUGAGCUCGCGUACCAUUAGCUUGUUGGUAGGGUAACGGCCUACCAAGGCGACGAUGGUUAGCUGGUCUGAGAGGAUGAUCAGCCACACUGGAACUGACACACGGUCCAGACUCCUACGGGAGGAAGCAGUGAGGAAUUUUGCGCAAUGGGGGAAACCCUGACGCAGCAACGCCGCGUGAGUGAUGAAGGCUUUCGGGUCGUAAAACUCUGUCAAGUGGGAAGAAACUGUUUGAUGCCAAUACCAUCAUACACUGACGGUACCACUGAAGGAAGCACCGGCUAACUCC